UACGGAGGGUGCAAGCGUUGUCCGGAUUUAUUGGGUUUAAAGGGUGCGUAGGCGGCUUUUUAAGUCAGUGGUGAAAGCCAACAGCUCAACUGUUGCAGUGCCAUUGAUACUGAAGAGCUUGAGUACAGAUGAGGUAGGCGGAAUUUAUGGUGUAGCGGUGAAAUGCAUAGAUACCAUAAAGAACACCUAUUGCGAAGGCAGCUUACUAAGCUGUAACUGACGCUGAGGCACGAAAGUGUGGGGAUCAAACAGG
rnacentral:rRNA from 1 species